rnacentral:rRNA from 1 species
CCUACGGGGGGCUGCAGUGGGGAAUUUUGCGCAAUGGGCGAAAGCCUGACGCAGCAACGCCGCGUGAGUGAUGAAGGCUUUCGGGUCGUAAAGCUCUGUCAAUGGGAAAGAAGUGUAUUGUAGCUAAUAUCUGCGAUACUUGACGGUACCCAUAAAGGCAGCACCGGCUAACUCCGUGCCAGCAGCCGCGGUCAUACGGGGGGUGCAAGCGUUGUUCGGGAUCAUUGGGCGUAUUUCGUUAGUCGGCGGUGAAAGCCCUGGGCUCAACCCAGGAAGUGCAUUGGAAACUGGCAGACUUGAAUACGGGAGAGGGUAGUGGAAUUCCUGGUGUAGGAGUGAAAUCCGUAGAUAUCAGGAGGAACACCGGUGGCGAAGGCGGCUGCCUGGACCGAUAUUGACGCUGAGACGCGAAAGCGUGGGUAGCAAACAGGAUUAGAUACCCGUGUAGUC